GCAAGUCGAACGAGAAAGUUUCCUUCGGGAGAUGAGUACAGUGGCGAACUGGUUAGUAACAGGUGGGAAAUGUACCUCUUGGCUUGGGAUAACUCCUGGAAACAGGAGCUAAUACCAGAUGUGACUAACGGGUCUUCGGUCCUGUGGGUUAAAGAUGCUUCUGUUAUUAGUGGUGUCACCAAGAGAUCGUCCCGCCCCUGAUUAGCUUGACGGUGGGGUAAUGGCCUACCGUGGCGACGAUCAGUAGCUGGUCUGAGAGGAUGGUC
rnacentral:rRNA from 1 species